rnacentral:lncRNA from 1 species
AAAUCUCACAUGCAGACUACACGACGAAUACGUCCAUCGUGUAGGAUGUAUGACCUGUCUAGAACCUCUGGCAUAAUACCAUCAACCGCUUUCUCUCGCACCCCUCCACCUGCUGGACGUGAGAUGCACCACCGUGGCCACCGUGCACCACCGCCUUAACGAGCGGCUCAAAUAAUACAAUGCUGUCGUCGGCAGCUCAACCGGGAUACAGAACCCAAGGGCACGCACUGUCUGUCUCAACCCCUGAGUCCCGUGACCUCCAGAUCACCGCGACAGCCUGUUCCUAAAGGGUAGACUGGACAAGCAAGCCCUCCGCCCAUCCCUCCUUCCACCCCCUAACCACCUUCCACCGUCCCUAACCGACACCGUCCCUUUCCCCCUUCCCUUCGAACGGACAGCAAAGCCGUCGGCCCCUCCAGGUACCUGUCCCUAAGUCCCCUAAGCUACUUGCACGUGCUCGGAACACCAACUUAUCCCG